UGUGCUGUCCACACAUUCCACCCCCUUAAGCCCUGGUCCUAGCCAUGGCUGAAGGUGCUGGGGAAUAACUUAUGGAGCAAGAUGAGUCUGUGGGAGUACGUACUUGUCUCCUCCAGGAAUUAUGCAGGUUGAGUGAGCCUUUAAUCACAGUGAGGGGAGUUCAAGAGCAGCUGCAUUUCCUCUGGUGGCGUGGGAGAGAGCAAGUCAAUGCUGACAGUCCAGUAGCUAAGCUUUUGGUCUGCUGCCUGCAAAACAAGAAGAGAUUAAGGUAAUGAAGUGAUGCUUCUUAGCAGUGAAGACAAAGACUUUGUAGCUGAGGAAGUGCCCAUUUUGACUGCAGGAAGAGUUUUGGGAGAGAAGUCCCCAGGAGCCAAAUGCCGUGUUUCCAGGAGGUAAACUCAUGAGGCAAGGUUAGAGGGGACUGAUGUCUGUGGGUCCUUAUGGGUUAGUGGUGAGGUCUGAAGCCUCGGGAUCUCAUGUGGUCUCUGCUCACACUUGGGCUGUGUCAGGCUCCUGAGAGGGGCUAUUGCAGAGGGUACGGUGUUGUGUUGAGUUCAGACCCACAGAAACUCCUCUGGAGAUCCCCUGGGAGCUGCCUGAGGAGGAAGAGAAGGCAGCUUGUUCAUUUAUCCUUAUUAGGAAUUACUAUUCAAAAGCUUGUAAAGCUUCACUGCUUCAGAGGAAAGUUAUGUCUGCUGAUUGAGGAGAGGAAGGGAAACAAGAGAACGAGUCAGGCUAAUGUAGCCUUUUGAGUUUUGCAGUCAGAUGAGCUUGAGAGAUUAAAAGGAGAGCGAAAGGGAUGGUACAUAUGCUUAAGAAAAGGAUAAA